UGGGGAAUAUUGCGCAAUGGGGGAAACCCUGACGCAGCAACGCCGCGUGAAGGAAGAAGGUUUUCGGAUUGUAAACUUCUUUGACCGGGGACGAUAAUGACGGUACCCGGAAAACAAGCCACGGCUAACUACGUGCCAGCAGCCGCGGUAAUACGUAGGUGGCGAGCGUUGUCCGGAAUUACUGGGUGUAAAGGGUGAGUAGGCGGAAUGGCAAGUCAGAUGUGAAAUAUCGGGGCUUAACCCCGGGGCUGCAUUUGAAACUGCUGUUCUUGAGUGAUGGAGAGGCAGGCGGAAUUCCUAGUGUAGCGGUGAAAUGCGUAGAUAUUAGGAGGAACACCAGUGGCGAAGGCGGCCUGCUGGACAUUAACUGACGCUGAGGCACGAAAGCGUGGGGAGCAAACA
rnacentral:rRNA from 1 species